UGCUCGUUGGUGUACUUGGUUUGUGCACGUCACGCUUUGAACGUGAAGGUUAAAGUUCGAGUCUUUAACGAGCAA
rnacentral:tRNA from 1 species